ACGCGAGCUGGGUUUAGAACGUCGUGAGACAGUUCGGUCCCUAUCUGCCGUGGACGUUUGAGAUUUGAGAGGGGCUGCUCCUAGUACGAGAGGACCGGAGUGGACGAACCUCUGGUGUUCCGGUUGUCACGCCAGUGGCAUUGCCGGGUAGCUAUGUUCGGAAGAGAUAACCGCUGAAAGCAUCUAAGCGGGAAACUCGUUUCAAGACGA
rnacentral:rRNA from 1 species